rnacentral:rRNA from 1 species
ACGCACGCUGGCGGCGUGCUUAACACCUGCAAGUCGCACGGAAAGGCCCUGCUUUUGUGGGGUGCUCGAGUGGCGAACGGGUGAGUAACACGUGAGUAACCUGCCCUUGACUUUGGGAUAGCUUCAGGAAACUGGGGCUAAUACCGGAUAGGAGCUCCUGCUGCAUGGUGGGGGUUGGAAAGUUUCGGCGGUUGGGGAUGGACUCGCGGCUUAUCAGCUUGUUGGUGGGGUAGUGGCUUACCAAGGCUUUGACGGGUAGCCGGCCUGAGAGGGUGACCGGCCACAUUGGGACUGAGAUACGGCCCAGACUCCUACGGGAGGCAGCAGUGGGGAAUAUUGCACAAUGGGCGGAAGCCUGAUGCAGCAACGCCGCGUGCGGGAUGACGGCCUUCGGGUUGUAAACCGCUUUCGCCUGUGACGAAGCGUGAGUGACGGUAAUGGGUAAAGAAGCACCGGCUAACUACGUG